GAGACCAGUCGAGGAAACAAAGGUAGAGGAACGAAAGAUGACGGAGAAUUCACCCCCAAAAACCAAAAAAAAAAGGAGUAGGAAUUAAAGAAAGCGAAGGCGGAGGGGAUUGAAUUCGUGUUGAUGGCGCCUGCUGAGGGCAUUGAAAUCUUUUCGCGGGUUGGUUUCUCUGUCGUCUGAUUUCUCCCUUUUCGUCCGUCGCCCACCGACAACAAAACAUAGGAUCGAGGCCUCCGGCGAAGGUCCCCUGGCACCUUUCCUUUCUUCUAUGUUCCUCCGAGUCGACGAAGAAGGCUCUGCUUUUGCUUCUGUCGAGGCUGGAUCCGCCGACCGGCGGGAAGCUUAGGGAAUUAGGUUGGCUGAGAUCCGAGGAAGGCCGUUGGGUUGAAGGAGGCCUCCUCGGAUUCAUGGCGCCGGAUCGAUGCCAUUGGGUUCUGAGAACGUUGAUGCUUCCCGAACCAUUACCCUGGAAUUGCAAGGAUUUGGUGCUCAAGGACUCCGUGAAGCACGAGAGUCGGGGAUGUCCUUCGCGACAGCCGCGGCUCCUCGUCUGCCCCGCGGUGGUGGGAACCUUACUUCGGUCCCCGUGACUUCCACCGCGCCUCCUCUCGCCGUUCCCUCGCAGAUGAAGCUGCUCCAAGGACGAAGGACGGCGCCAAUGGCUGAUCUAUCUAUGGACACUUCAUUGGUGGUGGCACAUAAAAGACUGCUAGUAUUUCUGGAUGUCUGUCACCGGCAACUCCGUGCUCUGCAACUUCAACUCGUCCGUCAUUAGAUUACAGAUCAAGUCUGAUGUUUUAUGUCAACAGCAUGAAGCUGCAACCAUCGACAGCUCCGUUCCUUCACAGACAACUGAACCUUGCAAAC